rnacentral:rRNA from 1 species
UACGGAGGGGGCUAGCGUUGUUCGGAAUUACUGGGCGUAAAGCGCACGUAGGCGGCUUUGCAAGUUAGAGGUGAAAGCCCGGAGCUUAACUCCGGAAUUGCCUUUAAAACUGCAUCGCUAGAAUUGUGGAGAGGUGAGUGGAAUUCCGAGUGUAGAGGUGAAACUCGUAGAUAUUCGGAAGAACACCAGUGGCGAAGGCGACUCACUGGACACAUAUUGACGCUGAGGUGCGAAAGCGUGGGGAGCAAACAGG